rnacentral:rRNA from 1 species
GAUUCUCUUCGGAGAAGAGCGGCGGACGGGUGAGUAACGCGUGGGUAACCUGCCCUGUACACACGGAUAACAUACCGAAAGGUAUGCUAAUACGAGAUAAUAUACUUUUAUCGCAUGGUAGAAGUAUCAAAGCUCCGGCGGUACAGGAUGGACCCGCGUCUGAUUAGCUAGUUGGUGAGGUAACGGCUCACCAAGGCGACGAUCAGUAGCCGACCUGAGAGGGUGAUCGGCCACAUUGGAACUGAGACACGGUCCAAACUCCUACGGGAGGCAGCAGUGGGGAAUAUUGCACAAUGGGCGAAAGCCUGAUGCAGCAACGCCGCGUGAGCGAUGAAGGCCUUCGGGUCGUAAAGCUCUGUCCUCAAGGAAGAUAAUGACGGUACUUGAGGAGGAAGCCCCGGCUAACUACGUGCCAGCAGCCGCGGUAAUACGUAGGGGGCUAGCGUUAUCCGGAAUUACUGGGCGUAAAGGGUGCGUAGGUGGUUUCUUAAGUCAGAGGUGAAAGGCUACGGCUCAACCGUAGUAAGCCUUUGAAACUGGGAAACUUGAGUGCAGGAGAGGAGAGUGGAAUUCCUAGUGUAGCGGUGAAAUGCGUAGAUAUUAGGAGGAACACCAGUUGCGAAGGCGGCUCUCUGGACUGUAACUGACACUGAGGCACGAAAGCGUGGGGAGCAAACAGGAUUAGAUACCCUGGUAGUCCACGCCGUAAACGAUGAGUACUAGCUGUCGGAGGUUACCUCCUUCGGUGGCGCAGCUAACGCAUUAAGUACUCCGCCUGGGAAGUACGCUCGCAAGAGUGAA